rnacentral:sRNA from 1 species
GGAAGUAAAAGUCGUAACAAGGUUUCCGUAGGUGAACCUGCGGAAGGAUCAUUCAUAAUAAGUGUUUUAUGGCACUUUUUAAAUCCAUAUCCACCUUGUGUGCAAUGUCGGUCGAUCUUCUUCAUGGAGAUCGACCAAACAUCAACCUUUAUUUUUUAACUCUUUGUCUGAAAAAUAUUAUGAAUAAACAAUUCAAAAUACAACUUUCAACAACGGAUCUCUUGGCUCUCGCAUCGAUGAAGAACGCAGCGAAAUGCGAUACGUAAUGUGAAUUGCAGAAUUCAGUGAAUCAUCGAAUCUUUGAACGCAUAUUGCGCUCUUUGGUAUUCCGAAGAGCAUGCUUGUUUGAGUAUCAGUAAACACCUCAAAGCUUUUGGAUUUUUUAAUCGAAAAGCUUUGGACUUGAGCAAUCCCAACACCAAUCUUUUUGAGAUCGGUGGCGGGUUGCUUGAAAUGCAGGUGCAGCUGGACAUUCUCCUGAGCUAAAAGCAUAUUCAUUUAGUCCCGUCAAACGGAUUAUUACUUUUGCUGCAGCUAACAUAAAGGGAGUUUGACCGUAUUGGCUGACUGAUGCAGGAUUUCACAAGGGUCGGCAACGAUUCUUGUUAAACUCGAUCUCAAAUCAAGUAAGACUACCCGCUGAACUUAAGCAUAUCAAUAAGCGGAGGAAAAGAAACUAACAAGGAUUCCCCUAGUAACGGCGAGUGAAGCGGGAUGAGCUCAAAUUUAAAAUCUGGCUGGUUUACUAGUCCGAAUUGUAGUUUAUAGAAGCGUUUUCGGUGGCAGCCUGGGUAUAAAUCCUUUGGAAUAGGGUAUCAUAGAGGGUGAGAAUCCCGUCUUUGACUCAGUGCAUGCUACUAUGUGAUACGUUUUCAAAGAGUC